GGUUGGCCUUCUGCUUCGAGCCAUGGGUUAUCCACCUAGGACAAGAAUAUUCCUAUCAGGUUCUGAAACCUUUGGCGGACAACGGGUUAUGAUUCCUUUACGCGCCAUGUACACCAAUUUAGUUGAUCGUACUUCUUUGUGCAGCAAAACAGAGCUAGCCAAUUUAGUUGGCCCUGAAACCCCCCUUAUUCCUGAUCCUGAUCAGUUUUUACCAGUAAAAAGUUCAAAUCAACUAAAAUCAGAAUGGGACAAGUCUGGUCCCCGCCCAAGGCCUCUACCACCUCCUCCUGAUCGACCUAUUUAUCGACAUGAAAAAGAAGGCUGGUAUGGGUGGGUUGCAGAGAAAGAUAAGGAACCAGAACCUUCUCUCAAUGAUCAGAGGGAGCAAGCACACCGACUGCUAUGGGAUGCUCUUGAUUACAUAGUCUCGGUGGACGCUGAAGUUUUUUUCCCUGGUUUUGACAAUGAUGGUAGUGGGCCUGAUUUUGCUAGCUUGGUGAUGGGACACCGACUUUAUGAGAUGGCAUCUGCAAGAACAUUUCGGCCAAACAGGUAAAACUAACAACACUCCUGGUCCUUUCUUUGUUUGGUGUUUACUAUUUCUUUUUAUUUACCAUCACUUUCUAAAAUGUAUCUUGUAUAUGCAGGAAAUAUCUUGCAGAGCUCUUUAAUACUACCGUCGAUCAUCUUUAUUAUCCACCUCGUAAUUGGACUUUUGCUGUCAGAGAACAUCUCAACAAAAGCCUGGCAGAAGAGGGCCUUUUGAAGGAAUCUAAUCUAUCAAAAACAAAGUUUUUCCUCUCUCACCCUAUUCCAGAAUGCUCAUGUUCAACUGUCAAGGCUACUGAUAUUGUGCAUUCAGGAAAGAACAACAAUCUCCAUCUGUUGUUUGAAGGGCAGGAUGAGUGCCCCAAAUGGAUGCAACAACUAAGAACUCAAGAGGCUAAAGCUGAUGAAGUUGAUUCUCAAGAAGAUGAGAUUGAUUUAAACGGGCAGUCAGAAUCGGAAGGAUACAAUGGAACUGAUGCAAUUCCAUCCCUGGAACAGGAUGAGGAAAUGGAUCCUGAUGAUUAGGAUUAGAUGUACAUAUCUUGCCUUCAUUUUCUUGUUCAUUUCCCUCUAUGCCACCGACGUCAAGCCCCACUCUGGAUUAAUCUUUUCUAAGAGUGUAAAAACUUACAGCAGCAGCAUGCUGCUUUUGGAAUGUCUGGAAGCACUCCCAAUUUUUUUGGGGCCAAAUUAACUGCAAGCACAGUUCUUCAAAUGUGCUUUAGAAGAAUCCGUGCAGUCUGCUUAGAGUUCAUUGCUUGGCAUCUGGACUCCAUUGGUCUCUUCCUUAGAACUCUCCCUCUUUCUCUCCAAGCAGGACAAGUUUUCUCAUCUUCUACAGGUAUACAGCAUACAAAAGAUGUCUAAAUUUCUAGUACUUUGCGACUGCACAAAGCAAAAGUGACACUGUGAAGCCAUAUAUAGUUGACAACGAUUCUUUGAUUUUCAUUUCACAUUUAGGUUGGCCUUCUGCUUCGAGCCAUGGGUUAUCCACCUAGGACAAGAAUAUUCCUAUCAGGUUCUGAAACCUUUGGCGGACAACGGGUUAUGAUUCCUUUACGCGCCAUGUACACCAAUUUAGUUGAUCGUACUUCUUUGUGCAGCAAAACAGAGCUAGCCAAUUUAGUUGGCCCUGAAACCCCCCUUAUUCCUGAUCCUGAUCAGCUUUUACCAGUAAAAAGUCCAAAUCAACUAAAAUCAGAAUGGGACAAGUCUGGUCCCCGCCCAAGGCCUCUACCACCUCCUCCUGAUCGACCUAUUUAUCGACAUGAAAAAGAAGGCUGGUAUGGGUGGGUUGCAGAGAAAGAUAAGGAACCAGAACCUUCUCUCAAUGAUCAGAGGGAGCAAGCACACCGACUGCUAUGGGAUGCUCUUGAUUACAUAGUCUCGGUGGACGCUGAAGUUUUUUUCCCUGGUUUUGACAAUGAUGGUAGUGGGCCUGAUUUUGCUAGCUUGGUGAUGGGACACCGACUUUAUGAGAUGGCAUCUGCAAGAACAUUUCGGCCAAAC
rnacentral:lncRNA from 1 species